GGGCUUGUAACUCAGCUUGGAUAGAGUGCCAGAUAAAAGCUGGAAGUCGCCGGUUCAAAUCCGGCCAGGCCCG
rnacentral:tRNA from 1 species